rnacentral:rRNA from 1 species
UGAGAGGGUGACCGGCCACAUUGGGACUGAGACACGGCCCAAACUCCUACGGGAGGCAGCAGUGGGGAAUAUUGCACAAUGGGGGAAACCCUGAUGCAGCGACGCCGCGUGAGUGAAGAAGUAUUUCGGUAUGUAAAGCUCUAUCAGCAGGGAAGAAAAUGACGGUACCUGACUAAGAAGCCCCGGCUAACUACGUGCCAGCAGCCGCGGUAAUACGUAGGGGGCAAGCGUUAUCCGGAUUUACUGGGUGUAAAGGGAGCGUAGACGGUAAAGCAAGUCUGAAGUGAAAGCCCGGGGCUCAACCCCGGGACUGCUUUGGAAACUGUUUAACUAGAGUGCUGGAGAGGUAAGCGGAAUUCCUAGUGUAGCGGUGAAAUGCGUAGAUAUUAGGAGGAACACCAGUGGCGAAGGCGGCUUACUGGACAGUAACUGACGUUGAGGCUCGAAAGCGUGGGGAGCAAACAGGAUUAGAUACCCCGGUAGUCCACGCCGUAAACGAUGAAUACGAGGUGUUGGGGGACAAAGUCCUUCGGUGCC